UACGUAGGGUGCAAGCGUUGUCCGGAAUUAUUGGGCGUAAAGAGCUCGUAGGCGGUUCGUCGCGUCGGCUGUGAAAUCCCGAGGCUCAACCUCGGGUCUGCAGUCGAUACGGGCGGACUGGAGUUCGGCAGGGGAGACUGGAAUUCCUGGUGUAGCGGUGAAAUGCGCAGAUAUCAGGAGGAACACCGGUGGCGAAGGCGGUUCUCUGGGCCUUACCUGACACUGAGGAGCGAAAGCGUGGGGAGCGAACAGG
rnacentral:rRNA from 1 species